rnacentral:rRNA from 1 species
GUAAUUUGGAUAUUUAAAUUUAUAGAUAAAUAAAAUUAUAAUAAAUUAAUAAAGUUUUAUAGUUAAUUAAAUGAAAUUAAUUAAUUUUAUUAAUAAUAAAUAUAGUAAUGUAGGUGAAUUUAUUUUGGUUGUAAUAAGAUUAAUAUAAGAAAAUUUAUUUUAUUGUUCCUUUUGUAUCAGGAUUUAUUAAAAAUAUAGUUAUAUAUUUUGUAAUUAUCUCGAAAUUAUAAGAGCUAAUUUUAUAUGAGAUUUAUUGUGGUAUAAAUAUUUUAAAUAUUAAGUUAGAGAAGAUAUUUUAUUCAAUUAUAAUGAUAUCUAGUUUUUAUAUAAAUAAAUUUAAUUUAUAUAAAAUUUAAAAAUUUGUUUAAUUAAAAAAAAUUAUAUUUUUAAUUUUAUAAAAUAUUUAUGGGAUAAACUGUAAAUAAAAUUAAAAUUUUAUUUGUUAAUUGUUUAGAAAAAUAUUAAUAGUCUUAAAAUUUGAUUAUUUAUAAUAAAAAUUUAAUAAUUUAUAUUAAAAUAUUUUAGAGAUUUAUUGUUUAGAAAUUUAUAAAGUAUAUAAAUAUUUUUAAUAAUUUUUUUAAAAAAGAAAUAAUGAUAAAAUUAGUAUAAGUAAGAUAAUUUGUAAAAAUAUAUAAUUGUUUAAAUAAUAAAUAGUAAUUUGGCAAAUUUAAUAAAUUCAACUGUUUAAUAAAAACAUAGUUUUUUGAGAAUAAUAUAAGAUUAGUUCUGCUCAAUGAAAAUAAUUAAAUAGCUGCAGUAAAUUGACUGUACAAAGGUAGCAUAAUAAUUUGUCUUUUAAUUAAAGACUGGAAUGAAUGAAUAAAUGAGAUUUAUACUUUCUUUUUUAUAAAGUUAGAAUUAGAAUUUUAAGUAAGAAUGCUUAAAUAUAUUUAUGGGACGAUAAGACCCUAUAGAAUUUUAUAUAAAUAUGAUUUUAAAUUUUAAUUUAUAAAAGUUAUAUUUAUAUUUUGUUGGGAGGACAUUUAAAUUAUUAAAACUUUAAAAAUUUAAAUACAUUAAUUAGUGAAUUUUUGAUUAUUAAUUUUUAAUUUAGAAUUAAUUACCUUAGGGAUAACAGCGUAAUAUUUUUGGUGAGAUCUUAUUAAUAAAAAUGUUUGCGACCUCGAUGUUGAAUUAAGAUUUAGUUUAAAUGGAGAUGUUUAAAAUUUUAGUCUGUUCGACUAUUAAAAUCUUACAUGAUUUGAGUUUAGACCGACGUGAGUCAGGUCAGUUUCUAUCUAUAAUAAAAUUUAAUUUACGAUUGUACGAAAGGACUUUGUAAAUAGAAUAUUUUUAUAUAAAUUUAAUAUAUUGUAUAAUAUAAAAAAUUAUUUUGGCAGAUAAGUGUGAUAAAUUUAG